ACCUGGUUGAUCUUGCCAGUAGUCAUAUGCUUGUCUCAAAGAUUAAGCCAUGCAAGUGAAAGUAUAUGCAUAUUUUAUAUGUAGAAACUGCGAACGGCUCAUUAAAACAGUUAUAAUCUACUUGACAUUUUAAUAUAAGGAUAACUACGGAAAAGCUGUAGCUAAUACUUGUAAAAGUACAUUACUUCUCGGAGUAAAUCUGUACGUAUUUGUUAAGGCACCCAAGAAAAAAUGAUAUUAAAGGAAUUAUAACAAAGAAGUUACACCACAACAAACGUUAGUGUGUAUCAAUCGAGUUUCUGACCUAUCAGCUUUUGAUGUUAGGGUAUUGACCUAACAUGGCUUUGACGGGUAACGGGGAAUUAGAGUUCGAUUCCGGAGAGGGAGCCUGAGAAAUAGCUACCACAUCUAAGGAAGGCAGCAGGCGCGUAAAUUACCCAAUUCUAAAUAAGAGAGGUAGUGACAAGAAAUAACAAUAUAAGGCCAAAUUUUGGUUUUAUAAUUGGAAUGAUGGGAACUUAAAAUCUUCCCAAAAAUCAAUUGGAGGGCAAGUCUGGUGCCAGCAGCCGCGGUAAUUCCAGCUCCAAUAGCGUAUAUUAAAAUUGUUGCAGUUAAAACGCUCGUAGUUAAAUUUCAAAGGAUAUAAAUAUUGUAAGAACGUGCUUGAUGAGAUUCAUCGUGACUCUGUCAUUGUACUCUACCUCGUCGUCCUUUUAAUUAUAGAUCCCUUUGAGAACCCAAUGAUUCAUCAAUGGGUUCUUGUUACUUUGAGUAAAUUAGAGUGUUUAAAGCAAAUAUUAUCUGGUAUAAUCUACUGUGUUUGAAUACUAUAGCAUGGAAUAACAACAUUGAAUAGGUCAAAAAUUUUUGAAAAAUUUUUCUUGUUUUGGCUUAGAUACAGUUAAUAGGAGUAGAUUGGAGGCAUUUGUAUUCAGAUGCUAGAGGUGAAAUUCUUAGAUUUUCUGGAGACAAACAACUGCGAAAGCAUUUGCCUAAAAUACUUCCAUUAAUCAAGAACGAAAGUUAAGGGAGUGAAGACGAUCAGAUACCGUCGUAAUCUUAACCAUAAACUAUGCCGACUAAGUGUUGGAUGAAAAUUUAUAAAUAAAACUAUCUUCUUUAAAGGAAUAGUUUUUUAGAUGCUUCCUUCAGUACCUUAUGAGAAAUCAAAGUCUUUGGGUUCUGGGGCGAGUAUUCGCGCAAGCGAGAAAGUUAAAAGAAUUGACGGAAGGGCACCACCAGGCGUGGAGCUUGCGGCUUAAUUUGACUCAACACGGGGAAACUCACUAGUUUAAGACAAGAGUAGGAUUGACAGAUUAAUAGCUCUUUCUUGAUUUCUUGGAUGGUGAUGCAUGGCCGUUUUUAGUUCGUGAAUAUGAUUUGUCUGGUUAAUUCCGAUAACGAACGAGAUCUUAACCUGCUAAUUAGCGGUGGGUGCGUGAUAUUCUUCGAAGGUGGACUAACUAUAGCGUUUUCGAAGAUAUGAUGCAUAAUCAUUCGGUUUGCCUUUUGUUUUUUUGUGUCAUGUUCUUUCGGUUUCGUUGUGUUUUUUCCCUAGUAAGGAUGCAUCCACUUUAUUUAAUGCUUCUUAGAGGAACGAUGUGUGCCUAACGCAAGGAAGUUUAAGGCAACAACAGGUCUGUGAUGUCCUUAGAUAUACUAGGCUGCACGCGUGCUACACUGAUAUGUAAAACGAGUACUUAAAACUAUAUCUCUAUGGUAGAUAAUCAAAUUCUACGUAUGUUAGAGUAUAUUUUUCCUACACUGAAAUAGUGAAGGUAAUCUUUAUCAAUACAUAUCGUGAUGGGGAUAGAUUAUUGCAAUUAUUAAUCUUGAACGAGGAAUGCCUAGUAAGCAUGAUUCAUCAGAUUGUGCUGACUACGUCCCUGCCCUUUGUACACACCGCCCGUCGCUCCUACCGAUUGAAAGAUAUGAUGAAUUGUUCGGACAAAUUAAAUAAAUUUUAAUUUUAAUUUUUUUGGAAGGGCCGUAAAUCCUAUCUUUUAAAGGAAGGAGAAGUCGUAACAAGGUUUCCGUAGGUGAACCUGCGGAAGGAUCAUUU
rnacentral:rRNA from 1 species